GCUUGGUAUAGUGGUUUGAAUGUUUGAUUACAACUCUGGAGACCAGGGUUCAAAUUCCUGCUCAGCA
rnacentral:tRNA from 1 species